UAUCCUUAUUUAUCAUAUAUUUAGUACAAAAUACAGCAAUUUUGUAUAUCUAAUAAAGGUUCUUUUUCCAGUCUGUAUCACCUACCCUGUAUCGCAUACCCCGUAUCGCAUAGCUAAACCCGUAUCGCAUAGCAAAAUCCGUAUCGCAUACCUGGCGUGAUGUCAUGAUAAAAUGACGUCAACGUUUGACCUAUGACGUACAGUUGCUGCAUUUUCAGGCUUAGGGAAAAAAAUGAUUUCUAUUAAAAAAAAAACGUCCU
rnacentral:lncRNA from 1 species